GCCCGAUUAGCUCAGCUGGUUAGAGCGUCGUACUAAUAUCUUGUCUUGCGAGAUAUCAAGUCCAUGCGAAGGUCAACAGUUCAAUCCUGUUAUUGGGCA
rnacentral:tRNA from 2 species